UGUGUCAAACUCGAGCGAAAAUUUUCAUGUGUAUAAAUUAAUAGUAAAAACAAUAUGCGUGUAAAAUUAUUGUGGAAUGUCGCUAAGAUAAUCUUGAUAUCGGGGUUAUCAUUUGGCGUUUAAAUUAUACAAAUGAUAGCAAAAUUUUGGUGCCUUGUCAAGGAAUCGUUGGCUUUUGCAUAAACUGCUGAAUUGUACGGAUGCAUGAUUUGCAUAUCUUUGCUGAGUCUAGUCAGUGCAGCUGCCCUUGUUGUCUGUAUCCCCUAUUGGUCGCGCACUUUCUUCCAGAGUAAAUGCACGUGUCCUGCAGUACCUAUAUGUCCUGAUUGUGGCAUGCCGUUCUGAUUGUGGCAGGACUUUGCAAGAAUCUAGAAGUCCAGGAAAGUUUCCCAAAAUGAUUUGUAUGAGUUGUGCGACCGCGAUCGCAGCGGCUGGCAUCAUUGUUUUUGGACCCAUACUGUGUGAGAAACUGUUAAGUUGCCUCGUUAAGUCAAACAAGAAAUAAAUAAAAUACACAAAUGAGGCUGCUAAAUUGUGAGAAUGUACUAAUUUUCUUAGAUCCAGUAUGUGUAAUAAAGUGAUCGUUCAUAAUAUAUA